GAUGAACGCUGGCGGCGUGCCUAAUACAUGCAAGUCGAGCGAACAGACGAGGAGCUUGCUCCUCUGACGUUAGCGGCGGACGGGUGAGUAACACGUGGAUAACCUACCUAUAAGACUGGGAUAACUUCGGGAAACCGGAGCUAAUACCGGAUAAUAUAUUGAACCGCAUGGUUCAAUAGUGAAAGACGGUUUUGCUGUCACUUAUAGAUGGAUCCGCGCCGCAUUAGCUAGUUGGUAAGGUAACGGCUUACCAAGGCAACGAUGCGUAGCCGACCUGAGAGGGUGAUCGGCCACACUGGAACUGAGACACGGUCCAGACUCCUACGGGAGGCAGCAGUAGGGAAUCUUCCGCAAUGGGCGAAAGCCUGACGGAGCAACGCCGCGUGAGUGAUGAAGGUCUUCGGAUCGUAAAACUCUGUUAUUAGGGAAGAACAAAUGUGUAAGUAACUAUGCGCGUCUUGACGGUACCUAAUCAGAAAACCACGGCUAACUACGUG
rnacentral:rRNA from 1 species